UUUUGGUGGCCGAUUUUAAGCGAAAGAUUGUAAAUCUUUUUAUGACCGUAAGGUCCC
rnacentral:tRNA from 1 species